GGUCGCUUGCGGAGAAAAUACCGGAAGACAACAGAUGACCACAACAAGAAGCAUGGCCAACAGGGAAACAAACGCCGACACUGCGGUGCAAGUCUCGGACGACAGUACACCUAAAGCUGGGCAGACACUGUGCGAUUUUUUCAGUCACGUUAUUCAGCUCCUGCUCAAACUGCACGAUUGACUCGCAGAGGUUAGAAGUUGGGCUGUUUGAUGACGAUUUGGACUCCUCUGGGAGAUGUCACACCCACAUCUGUUCCAUGCUGCAGCCAUGGAUGGUGUUAUAGCUCUGAGUCAGCUUUGGGCCAUCAGACGCACACACUGGAAAACCAGCACCUGGACUUCGUCAUGCUGCUGUUGUGAAAAUACUGGUUACUUGUAGUUUUCUCAGUAUAAUAAAGUGAUCCAUUGCUCCCACUUCAAAAGUGUUAAUUAGCUCUGACAUCUGUCUCUGUAAGCAGUGAUUUAUCAGCACAAAGUAUUGACAGAUCAAAGGCAUUCAUUACAGUGAUCCACAGCACCACAUGUUAAUGUGUUUGUUUUAUUUAGUAUCACUGAUCAGUCUGUGCUGCAAAUUUCCUCACUGUCAGGGUUUUGACUAAAGUCUAUCUUUAUUGUUUCUGCACACCACACAGUUUGUUUCCUCCAUUAUUUUAUCAUUUAAAUUAUUAUUAACUCAUUCACUGCCAUUGACGUCCAUAGACGUCAAUGGCAGUCAACGUAAGUUGAACUGAAGCCCACCAGCAGUAAAAGUAGACCUGCAAGGAGGUGCAGGGUUUGAGCACGUAUGGGAUUGCGCAGUGAGACAAAAAUGUGGUGCAAGUCUUGUUGUGUUUCACUGCCAGCCAUUUGAAAAUGGCUGGCAGUGAAUGAGUUAAUAACGAUUAUAGAUACAAACCCAAAUCCAAUUUUGUUAAUAAAUCUAAAGGCAAAAUACAAUGAUUUUCAAAUCUCAUUGUGACAAAGUGGGUGAGAACACCAUUUGUCCAUUUUCUUAGUUGACGUUCUUGUUUUGAAUUAACCAUAUUUCAUAUGUAGUGUUGCGGCUCCUUCAACCAAUGGCCGCGGCAGGCUAAACAUGAGGACACAGAUGACUCGCAACAACAAACUGAUAAAAUACACUUCUGUACCAUUUGCUCCUUUUAUUCCACAUGCAACUGUCCAAUAUAUAAAUCAGCACAUGGGAUUAACUAUUAAACAAAUGCACAAACAAAUAACUGCAACUCACCAAUAACUAGGGUUGCCAACUCCCUGAAAUAUAAAUAAGGGACACCUCGUGGCCAGGGCCGGGCGACCCAGUUGUCUUCACCCUUCCCAGUGUGGUGAAUUUUCUAGCUCUUUUUUUUGUGUGUGAAAUUAUUUUUUUAACCAUUUGACUUGAAGUUGAUUUAAGUAGAUGCAUAUUCUAUUCUUUGUGAUAUGAACACAUGUGAAACAAAUGAUCAUUUAGCCAUUUAUUUUUAGCUCAAAAUGACAACAUUAACACAGUAAAACAGGUCUCUUUCUUAAACAGAAGCCUGUCAUGCUUAACUUUUGAGAAUAUAAGUAAAUCUUUCUUUAAAAGAACUCUGUCCUGCUUAACUUAAAAUAAUAGAAAACAAUAGAAAGAAAAACAUUCUUGUAACAGUGCACAUUUAGUACAAUUGGCUUCAGUUGAGGUAUUAUUUCAGCUUUUCUAAUGCUAAUCAGCUGCUCCUGUUUGUAAACCCGCUUGUUCCCAUGAUUACGCAUCAUAACUCAUCAUCAUUAUUCAUCUAUGUAUUACUUUUAUGUAUUAGUCAUCUAUUUGUUGUAAUCAUCUAUCCUUGCAGUUGUUUAUUACACAAAAUAAAUUAUAUUAUCACACUUCUGGCCACAUAGCGCUGAUAUUCACUGCACAUGCCCAUAUUAACUUUUUCCAGCCAGGUGUUUUCCUUUUCCCAUUCUUCCCUUUCU
ensembl:lncRNA